rnacentral:rRNA from 1 species
UACGUAGGGAGCAAGCGUUGUCCGGAUUUAUUGGGCGUAAAGAGCGUGUAGGCGGCUUUACAAGUCCGUUGUGAAAACUCGAGGCUCAACCUCGAGACGCCGGUGGAAACCGUAAAGCUAGAGUCCGGAAGAGGAGAGUGGAAUUCCUGGUGUAGCGGUGAAAUGCGCAGAUAUCAGGAAGAACACCCGUGGCGAAGGCGGCUCUCUGGGACGGUACUGACGCUGAGACGCGAAAGCGUGGGGAGCGAACAGG